rnacentral:snRNA from 1 species
AACGCUUCUCGGCCUUUUGGCUAAGAUCAAGUGUAGUAUGUUGAGAUCUUUGAUCCAAUUGGAUUUAAGUUUUGUGUAUGGUGAUAGAUAUGGAUCUAUCUGCAGUCUUCUACAUGCCAUUUUUAUUAUGUUGAUCCUACCUAUC